rnacentral:rRNA from 1 species
GACGAACGCUGGCGGCGUGCCUAAUACAUGCAAGUAGAACGCUGAAGGAGGAGCUUGCUUCUCUGGCUGAGUUGCGAACGGGUGCGUAACGCGUAGGUAACCUGCCUGGUAGCGGGGGAUAACUAUUGGAAACGAUAGCUAAUCCCGCAUAAUAGUAGAUGUUGCAUGACAUUUGCUUAAAAGGUGCAAUUGCCUCGCUACAAGAUGGCCCUGCGUUGUAUUAGCUAGUUGGUGGGGUAACGGCUCACCAAGGCGACGAUACAUAGCCGACCUGAGAGGGGGAUCGGCCACAAUGGGACUUAGACACGGCCCAGACUCCUACGGGAGGCAGCAGUAGGGGAUCAUCGGCAAUGGACGGAAGGCUGACCGAGCAACGCCGCGUGAGGGAAGGAGGUUUUCGGAUCGGAAAGCUCUUUUGUAAGAGAAGAACGAGUGUGAGAGUGAAAAGUUCACACUGUGACGGUAUCUUACCAGAAAGCGACGGCUAACUACGUG